GAUGAACGCUAGCGGCAGGCCUAACACAUGCAAGUCGAGGGGUAGGGCAGCAAUGCCUGAGACCGGCGCACGGGUGCGUAACGCGUAUGCAACCUACCUUUUACAGGGGAAUAGCCCAGAGAAAUUUGGAUUAAUGCCCCAUGGUAUAUUUGAGUGGCAUCACUUGAUUAUUAAAGUUCCAACGGUAAAAGAUGGGCAUGCGUCCUAUUAGCUAGAUGGUAAGGUAACGGCUUACCAUGGCUACGAUAGGUAGGGGUCCUGAGAGGGAGAUCCCCCACACUGGUACUGAGACACGGACCAGACUCCUACGGGAGGCAGCAGUGAGGAAUAUUGGACCAUGGGCGCAAGCCUGAUCCAGCCAUGCCGCGUGCAGGAAGAAGCAUCUAUGGUGUGUAAACUGCUUUUGUACGGGAAGAAACACCCCUUCGUGAAGGGACUUGACGGUACCGUAAGAAUAAGGAUCGGCUAACUCCGUGCCAGCCGCCGCCGUAAGAC
rnacentral:rRNA from 1 species